AAACCAACAGGUUUACGGUGGAA
rnacentral:siRNA from 1 species